AAAUUCUGCCAAGUCUCUUCCCAUCUUAUGGCUAUUGCUGGUCUCCAAAUAAUAUUACAAUGUCAUUAAGGACGCCACCCUCUAAAAAAAGAUGACCUCAUUAAGAAAUUUAAUAUAAAUUGGACACCUUACUAAGAAAGCAAGUCAGAAGGGAUAAUACAUCUGAACAAAAUCAUUUACUGCCCCACUUCACCAGGAAGAAUUAAGAUAUUAUACUUUGGCCCAAUUUUAACACAUAGAUAAAACGAAAUUAUGAAUAGUUUUGUCGGAAAAGACGUUACUAUGCUUUGUGCCGGAGGAGGAGGUGGGUACGGAUCUGAUGGGGGUUGGCGGGACUGCGGCGGUGGGGGCAAUAGUGGUGGAAGCAGCGGAUUCGGUUUUAGUGGAUCUGGGGGAAGCAAGUGAGGGGAAUUGCAGGCGUAUAUGCAUGAAGCCUUCCUUAUUAUUUGAAUUUAAAAAAUGUCCAACUGAUUUGAAUAAAUAUCUUUGCCAAUAAUCCUGCUUAGAUAGAUGGGGGACCUUGGACUUUUCAAAAAAUUCGGAAGAUUUAUUAAUUUGAUGAGUAAUUAAGUGCAAUUUGCAUAAACAACUUGUUGUUCAAACUUGGCAUUAUAUUUACAUAUGUAGCUACAUGAAAACCUAUGAAUAUUAAUAAUAAUUAAUGGUGAGUAGAUAAUUAUUUACUUUUCGAAUAAUAACAUCAAAUCCGGCAUGCGGCUCAGCCACUCAUGGAAGUAAAUAAUUUCACUUUCCCGUUUCUCAUGAGAGAUUCAUGUACCUUGGCUUGUUAAACUUUAAGGUAAUUUCCAACUCAUUCUAUCUUGAAUUAGUGGGGGGAUUGGUGUGUAGUAAAAUCAAAUAUUAAACUUCUCCAGCUCCAAUUCUAGAUUUAUAUGUGACAUUCUAGAAGGUUCCUAGAAUCCAGUAGGGGAGACUCACAUUUUGCAUAACAAAUUCAUAACGAGCCUCAUUUGUGGACUACAUUUUCACAUUUGUCCCCCACAUUUGUCCCCUUGGCAAGCCUUUUUUUCGGCUGGGAUGAAUUCACUCAUACUACAAAAAUCUGUCAUGAAACGCCAAAAAUUGAAUUCACACGUACGAUUGCUGGAUAUCAUCGUAUCAUAUCAUCAUGAGCUUUAACGAAAUUCUCUUACAUCUCUUCCCAUAUAUUGUCUCGUCGUGUACUUGUGUCCAAGUAAUAUUUAACCAGGGACGCCACCCUCUAAUAAUUAUGACCUCAUUGAAAAAAUUAAUAUAAAUUGCACACCUUACUAAGAGUACAAGUCAGAAGGGAAAAUACAUCAGAAUAAAAACAUCUACUGCAUCACCAAGAAAAAUUAGCAGAUUACUUUACUACAAUUUUUACACAUCCAAUUUAACGAAACUAUGAAUAGUUUUGUGGGAAAAGACGACACUAUGCUUUGUUCCGGAGGAGGAGGAGGAGACGGUUCUGAUCGUGGGUGGGGUGGCUGCAGCGGUGCGAGUAAUAGUGGUGGUGGACACGUCGGAUCCGGAUGUGGUGGGAGUGGUGGCGGAUCUGAGGGUGGAAGCAAGUGAUUGCACAUUUUUAUAGUGUAUGCAUUUAUGAAUUUAUGAAUCCUUCCUUAUCAUUUGAAUUUAAAAAAUUCUCAACUGAUUGGAAUAAAUAUCUUUAACAAUAA